rnacentral:lncRNA from 1 species
UCCCNGUAUCAAUAAAGACAAACAUCAGUUAUCGAAUGAGUUAAACGAUAAAGGCAUUAAGCACAGAUGAGAACCCAACAAUUAAUAAUCAAAACAUAUGGAAACCAAAUAAAUAAUCAAAAGUUUCAAUAAAAGAGAGUAUCAAAAGAUUACAUUGUUUCCCCCAACAACAAUAGGGUUUAGUUCACCAUUUUCAUGGUGAAACUAGAUGAAAAAUGGAAGAAGAAUGGAAAAGAAAACCCUAGAAAAGAUGAAAAGGAGCCUAAGCAUCCAAGAGAUCCUCUCUAGAGAGCAAAAUUAGGUCUGGUCGUCCUCCCUUGUCAAAAGAACAACUCUGAAUUCGAAAUAGGGGUAUUUAU